rnacentral:rRNA from 1 species
AUCUGGCUCUUCCGGAGUCCGAGUUGUAAUUUGUAGAAGAUGCUUUGGGUUGUGGGUUCGGCCUAAGUUCCUUGGAACAGGACGUCAUAGAGGGUGAGAAUCCCGUAUGUGGCCGAGGCCCGCGCCUAUGUAAAGCUCUUUCAACGAGUCGAGUUGUUUGGGAAUGCAGCUCAAAAUGGGUGGUAAAUUUCAUCUAAAGCUAAAUAUGGGCCAGAGACCGAUAGCGCACAAGUAGAGUGAUCGAAAGAUGAAAAGCACUUUGGAAAGAGAGUUAAACAGUACGUGAAAUUGUUGAAAGGGAAGCGCUUGCAACCAGACUUGGGCGCUGUCGAUCACCCCGAGUUCUCUCGAGUGCACUCGACAGCGCACAGGCCAGCAUCGGUUCGGGUGGCUGGAUAAAGGCCGUAGGAACGUGGCUCCCUUCGGGGAGUGUUAUAGCCUACGGUGCCAUGCAGCCCAGCCGGACCGAGGACCGCGCCUUCGGGCUAGGAGGCUGGCGUAAUGGUUGUAAGCGACCCGUCUUGAAACACGGACCAAGGAGUCUAACAUCUAUGCGAGUGUUUGGGUGGUAAACCCAUACGCGGAAUGAAAGUGAACGUAGGUGAGAAAC